UUCCACUAGUGAAAGUACUUUGGAGAAACCAUGGCAAGGAGGAAGCUACCUGGGAGACUGAGGAGGCUAUGCAGCAACAAUACCCUCAACUGUUCUGAUAAGGUGAGCCCUAGUUGGUGGACUUGGAGCUGGGCGGGAUUCAGAGUGGCCAUGAAGAUGGAUUGCCAAUUUUAAAUAAGUUUAGCAUUUAAUUUGGAUUAUUUUAUUUUUAUUAUGUUUAAAGUUGUAAUAAGGCCGCUCUUUUUAAUUAUUUUUAUUUUGGGGAUUAUUAAA